AUUGAACGCUGGCGGCAGGCCUAACACAUGCAAGUCGAGCGGAGCGGCGGACGGGUGAGUAAUGCUUAGGAAUCUGCCUAUUAGUGGGGGACAACAUCUCGAAAGGGAUGCUAAUACCGCAUCCUCAUAGAUGAGCCUCAGUCGGAUUAGCUAGUUGGUGGGGUAAAGGCCUACCAAGGCGACGAUCUGUAGCGGGUCUGAGAGGAUGAUCCGCCACACUGGGAAUGAGAAACGGCCCAGACUCCUACGGGAGGCAGCAGGGGGGAAUAUUGGACAAUGGGGGGAACCCUGAUCCAGCCAUGCCGCGUGUGUGAAGAAGGCCUUAUGGUUGUAAAGCACUUUAAGCGAGGAGGCGGUACUCGCAGAGUAAGCACCGGCUAACUCUGUGCCAGCCGCCGCGGUAAUUC
rnacentral:rRNA from 1 species